GGGAAACCGGGGCUAAUACCGGAUAACAUUUUGAACUGCAUGGUUCGAAAUUGAAAGGCGGCUUCGGCUGUCACUUAUGGAUGGACCCGCGUCGCAUUAGCUAGUUGGUGAGGUAACGGCUCACCAAGGCAACGAUGCGUAGCCGACCUGAGAGGGUGAUCGGCCACACUGGGACUGAGACACGGCCCAGACUCCUACGGGAGGCAGCAGUAGGGAAUCUUCCGCAAUGGACGAAAGUCUGACGGAGCAACGCCGCGUGAGUGAUGAAGGCUUUCGGGUCGUAAAACUCUGUUGU
rnacentral:rRNA from 1 species